rnacentral:lncRNA from 1 species
GGCCAUCACAACAGCAAAACCAGACUCCCCUGCCAGACAGUGGGGCUCCCUGAAACCUUACCCAGGAGAGGGCAGGUGCCUUGGAGGUGUCCAGGCCAUGGGCAUCGAAGGACACUCCCCAGCCCUGCCCACCACAUGCAGGACAGGGGAGCAACUGGCCCAGCCCCUCCCAUGGGCACUCCGGGGCCACAGUCACUGCCCACUCCCAUGGAGAGGGGAUGUUCUUAAAGUCCUUUCUCCAUCCCACCCCAGGCGUGAAGCAUCCCAGCCCAAGACACCGCAUCCUGAGUGAGACCCUCCCUGCAAAGGUCCUGAUACUGAGAAGGUUGGGGAGGGUGUGGCUGCGUGGGCCUUGUUGAGCCCUCACACUGGGGCAGUCCCAGGCCCCCAGCAGGGCCAGAGUGACCAGGCCGCCCCAGGGCCAGGCUGCGCUCAUUCCCACACUCCGGCUUUGCUGUUGCCUAGCAACCAGGCCGCUCAGCUGCACUCAAGUUAGUCCAGCUGCACCACAGGCAGACACUUAUCUGGUCUGCCUCUCUGGGAAAGGGGUCUAGCCAACUCUGAAGGGGAUGUCUACUCGGUAGCUAAGCUUUGGUGGAGGGACCCCAAACAACCACCCUGUGUCCCAUGUGAUGAGGGGCUGCAUGGGGUCAGGAUCUGCGGGCAGAGGACAGGAAUCAGGGCCUAUACUAGGGGCACCUGAUGGCCCCUGUCCAUGCCCUGCCCUGUUACCCUCGCACCUGGCCUUGCAGGGACGGAGCACUUUCCCAAGGUCUUGGAAACCCUAAAGCAAGUUGCUGGUGUCUGAGAUGAUUUCCAAGCACUUUUCGAGCCGGGCAGCUGGCUGGGCCUCAUACCUCUUCCAACUCCUCUCUAAAGCCAAUCUCCAACCCUCGCCCAUCCCAGGCCUGGGUGGGGUCAAGGACAAGAGGUAGAAGUGGAGAGAGGAGACUAAAGAGGGGCCUGGGCAAUGAAGAGGUGAGCCCAAGGUCAACAGGAGCAAGGUGGGGCCGAGAGAGAUGGAGGGGGCAAGGGGACACAGAGAGCUCCCUACCUAGGAGGAGUGGCAGGUCCUGUGGGGUCAGUGGGGCCUGACUCCAGACCCCUCCACCCCAGGGGAAUAGGUGGCAUGGCCCCUGGCCCCAAGCCACCCCUGCUAGCAUUCCUCAAGUGAGAGUCAGUGCCGGGGGGUAGUCAUACCUGAUGACCACAAUGACACCAUCGAAGAUGUUGUAGGGAUUCUUGAUGUAGCCAAAGGGACCAUACACAAGCAGCUUCAGCAGCAUCUCCAGGGCAAAGAGGCUGGUGAAGACGAUGUUGCUGAUUUCUAGGGCGUUGGUAAGCUCCUCGGGCUGCAGGGCAGGGUGGGAUGUGAGGCAGCUGGCUUAUCACUGAGCCCCUCAAUCCAGUCCUCCAAACAUUUCUCUUGGACAACAGUUGGCUACUCUUGCUUCCUUCCAGACACACACACACACACACAUACACACACACAGAGAGAGAGAGAAAAAUGCACGCAUUCCCAGUCACACACAUGGUGAUAGGCAGAAGGAAGACACGCAGACACCCAGGAAGGGUUGUCACAGUUGAGGAGACACCUGGAGCCUCAGCCUGAGCCCGGGACACCCGGGUUAAUUCUCAGCCUAUCCUGUCACUCACUCUGUGACCUUCAGCAAGAUUCUCAACCUCUCUGGCCAAAUGUGAAACACCAGAGGUAAUUCCUUUCAUGCUCCCUACCCGAGUCUGGGACUGGGACUGAGGAUGCACCCUAGAGUCCUCAGAAGGACUAAUGACGAACCCUGUCUCAUCUGCAAUUCCAGCUCAUUAGUGACCUCGCUUUCAAUAUGAAGUGCCUAGCAAUGCACCAGGCAUUAAAGGAGCUGCAAAAACAUGCCAGCCACACGCCCCGCCUCCCAGGAGCUCAGUGUCUGCUAGAAACACGUUGUACACACACAAAACGGCUGAAUAACCACAAGAGGCCUUAAAUGCUUCAGUGCCAAAAUAAAUUAUCCAGGCAGCAAGUCCGGGAGUUCAGGGGAGAAAAGGUGAGGGGUGAACACACAGAGAAAGGCUUAGUUGGGAGAGAGGCAGCACUUGAAUGCCUAAGGGUUUGUGGAGUCUCCCCAGCCAAGGGUCUAGGUGGUGUGGCACGGGGUGGGGGGAUCAUGAGCAACCUCAGCCUGGUUCUGGUUGAAGAAGGGAGGGGUGUGGCCAGGCAGAGGGCUGGGGAAGCAAGAAGAGAUAUGGUUGGCUCAAUGGACCCCACUGUCCACCUGAUGGAUGUCUGGACAAACUAGGUGUCUGGCCUGGAGGGCAGAGGCCAAGUCCAUAGUAGCUGCUCAAAAAGUAUGGGUUAAUGAAACAUUCAAAUGAGGCACUCAUUCCAUCAGACACCUCUCCUUGCUUCUCACUGCCUCGCUGGCCAGCUGCCCAACCAAGCCUGCAGCCAGGCCUGAGGACACCCAGAUGUAUCCUAAUGGCCCUAGUUUGUGCGGCCAGCUUGGAUGGGAGGUGAAAAGACUCGGAACAAGGGGCUUCUGACUAGCAGGUGAGCGGCAUUUGGGGGCCUCGGGGACAACAGCUACUCAGAGAGAGAUAAACUUUCAGACUGUUCAAAGGCAGGCCUGGGGGCAGAGUCAGGGCCAGCAGGCAGGCAGACAGCCAGCUAUGCAGAGGGGGAGUGGCUGUCAUGGGGGCCGGUAUGGCAUGGAGCCCGUUGCUCCAGCAGAUCUCAAGUAAGUCGUAGCUCCGUGGAUUGUGAGUGGGGGCACUGCCACCUGACCUGGUUAGCCCGGUCACACAGGGCCAUUAGUGUCUCCGGUGUGAGCACAGUACAGGAGGUGGGGGGGGGCCAGGAUCAAUGCAUAUAAAGCCCUGGGCUCAGACCCCACCUGGCUAAGUGGAUCCCCCCACUCUGUGCUUCCAAGUCUGGUCUGCCAGGGAGCGGGAGUCGGCAAACCCUCCUGCCUGUCACUCUGCCACUCGCCGUGUUUUCAGGCCUUGGAUUAGAUUAAAAUGAACAUGGACCGCACAGGUAUGUUUUAUGGGUUCUCUGGCCCACCAUGCACCUCCCCUCAUGCCAUUCACACAGUAGUCCUGCCAUGCUAGUCUCAUAGGGGCAAAAGACGCCAAGAGAUGGAGGGUGACCAGUUCAAAGUCACAGGGCAGGAAGAGCUGGGGUGGGGCCCAAUCCCACAUCCCUCUGACUCCAAGAAUAGUAGACAGUCAGGAUUCAGAACCAAGCCACGGUGAUGGUGAGGGGCUUGUGAAUCCAGAUACACGGUGGACUGGAUACACAACGUGUCUUCUAAAAUUAUAUUCAAAUCAACAGAGUUCUAGGAAUAAAGACCAACUCGAUGUGAAGACACAGCCGAGGUACGCUUAUAAUGGGCAAAUUUCAUGGCAUAUAAACUAUACCCCCAAAAAGCUGCUAAAAAUAAAAAUUAAUGAAAUGUUGUUUUAAAAGUUGCUGAAAACACAGUAGCUUUUGAUGUCACAUAUUUACUCAAUCAGUGAAUUCUAAAAGUCCGACUACUACUGUGCGUGGAGAAGGAGACUGUUCUCUUCACUCCCCGAUGUUAUCCACGGGGCUCUCAGGAGUCUGUACUGACGGCUUGUGGACACGUGCACACCUCACUCUCCUGCACACCACCGAGAGGCUUAUGGAGAAGGAUGAUGCCAGGCUCCUGCGAUGCCUGCCGUCCCAUAAGGCUUGCCUCAUUGGACCUUGUCAAGGGCUGUGCCAGCAAAGGCUGGAACCCCUGUCUUGCCCAGCCAAGUGACUCCAGGCCUGGAAAAGCAGGGCAGCCUGAUGCAGGUGGAAAGGGGCCU